GCAUCUUGGCAAGAGCCCGUCUGGCCUUGAUGUCUUCCACCCUGCGGGAUGAUCUCUGGAGCAGAGCUGUGCGCUUCUGCUGGUUGACCUCCCGCGUGGCUCUGAUAGGACCCCACUGAAACUCCAGGAGCAUCACUGAAUGCACCUCAUACAGUCCUUUCACCUGAGCUUCCACUGUGCUGGCCAGCAGACUCAUCCAGCUCCCCAACCAGCGGUCUCAUCCGGCUCCCCUCUGGACCUUCCUCCAACCAUGUGGUCGACUGCUCCGACGCCAUCUGAGCCAUCAGCUGACCCGCAUAAAAGUCGCGUCCACCACUCAGCCAGUGUGAGCUGGACUGAUGGGAGAGUCGACCGAUCAUCCGACUCAGAGUGGAAUCCCAUCCAGCUUGAUCCAAACUCACUGAAACCGGCAGACCUGGUAACUGACCGAUCAGAGACGAGUGCGCUGAUGGUUGACCAACCAGCUGCUCCAUGGCCAAGUCCCUAUGGUCAGCAGCCAAACAGGAGGACUGGUCUGCCAGCUGGCCAAUCAGGGGUCUGAAAGAGUCCUCGGCCAGGGAUGGGUCCUCACCUGAGAGGUGCUCCAGGACUGGAUUGACUUUAUUGUCCCAUUCCUAUAGUAAAAACAAAACAUCCAUUGAAUGCUGGGUAUUUUAUAGCUGUAUCAAAUAUUUAUAAUGGACUUCUGUUUAUGAGUUUAACGUCAAUGGGAAAUACGACCAGAAAAGGAGAGAUAGAGCUAUGUUAAACUAUUUUCCCAAAUAACACAAAGGAUUGUGGGUCGUAAGUCACUGA